GACUCGCACCUCCAAGGUCAGGACGCUGUGGUUCCACAUAAGCGGCUCGCGGUCACCACUUCUUUCAGGUCACUCUCGGGUUUCCCGGCCACCAUAAAGGGCCACGUCUGCAGGAGAGAAGAGGGUGGAGGAGGUGCUUUUCGGCUGGAGGAGAGAAGAGUCAUGGAGUUUAGAUCGCAGGACCAGCAGCAAAGUACUGAAUGUGACUCCCGACCUCAGGAACAUGAAAUAUUUCCAGGUUAACCAGGUUCCACUGGGUGGUUCUUACUUGGGGUGUCUCAUGCUGUGGCAGCCAGAAGGCAUCUGGAGCUGGAGUCAUCUGAAGCCUCGAUUAGGCUGAACAUUGAAGUGAACUCACUGCUGGAAGGAAAUGGGUACCUGUGAGAGCAGAAGAGCACAGUCCAGUUUGGAGCCAGAUGGGUUAUCCCACCUCUGCUUCUUGCUGUUGUAGGAGAACUUGGGCAUGAUCAACCUCUUCUAGCUCUACGAAGAUGUUACAAAGAUGAAGUGCUAUCACACACCCACACCCACACCCACACCCACUAACGCAUCCUAAGUGCUCAGUACUUAUUAACUCUUACUUGACAUACUCUAUAGUGUGUUUCUUGAAUGCUCCAG